GCCGUCGCCGUCGUCGCUUCAAGGAGAACGAAGCACCCCACCUUCGACGCUUGAGAUUCGCCAUCAAAGCCUUCUCAGAAAUCCUCAAGCUCCUCUCGCUAGCUCGGCCAUGUUCGGUGCUCGCGACGCCUUCGCCGCGUGAUCUUCAGCUGCUACGGCGGUUUCCCCCGCCGGCUCCAGAGAGACGAUGGUGAGCAAGUUCCUCUGCGACUUCCGGUGGUUCCUCCUCCUCGCCGCGGCGGUGGCGUUGAUCCACAUCCAGAUGUGUCUUUUCACGACACAAUUGGAACAUGCUGAUCAACUUGCUGCUGCUGGAAGUCUCCAUCCUAUUACCUCAUCCUGGAUGGUGUACCAAGGACAGCAUAUGAAGGAGCAGUAAUCUCUCGGUAUUCACCACCACGGCAUGUGUUUCUAGUGGGUCCGGAUUCUUUCGGGCUGCUUGGGAUCAAACGUGUUUGAUGCAUUGAGGUGAGGUU